UACGAAGGGGGCUAGCGUUGCUCGGAAUUACUGGGCGUAAAGCGUGCGCAGGCGGUUUUGUAAGCCAGAUGUGAAAUCCCCGGGCUUAACCUGGGAAUGGCAUUUGGGACUGCAAGGCUCGAGUGCGGCAGAGGAGACUGGAAUUCCUGGUGUAGCGGUGAAAUGCGCAGAUAUCAGGAGGAACACCGAUGGCGAAGGCAGGUCUCUGGGCAUUAACUGACGCUGAGGAGCGAAAGCAUGGGGAGCGAACAGG
rnacentral:rRNA from 1 species